rnacentral:rRNA from 1 species
UGGGGAAUAUUGCGCAAUGGGCGAAAGCCAGACGCAGCAACGCCGCGUGAGUGAUGAAGGCCUUCGGGUCGUAAAGCUCUGUCGGAGGGAACGAAUGCUCCUGAAGUUAACAGCCUCAGGAGGUGACGGUACCCUCAAAGGAAGCACCGGCUAACUCUGUGCCAGCAGCCGCGGUAAUACAGAGGGUGCAAGCGUUAAUCGGAAUUACUGGGCGUAAAGCGUGCGCAGGCGGUUGUGUAAGUCAGAUGUGAAAUCCCCGGGCUCAACCGGGGAAUUGCAUUUGAGACUGCACGGCUAGAGUGUGUCAGAGGGGGGUAGAAUUCCACGUGUAGCAGUGAAAUGCGUAGAUAUGUGGAGGAACACCGAUGGCGAAGGCAGCCCCCUGGGUUAACACUGACGCUCAUGCACGAAAGCGUGGGGAGCAAACAGGAUUAGAUACCCAAGUAGUCCCUGAGCGGGCUGGCAAGGCGCAU